CGUCAGACGUCACGGUUGCAGAGUGAUUGACGGUCUGAUGGCCAAUCAAUGCGUAGAGUUGUGCCAGAUGACCCAAUUGUAUGUCGCGAGGUGGGACAUCCAUUGGAGCUUCGUCGGUUGUCAAGAGAGAAGGUUCCGGAAGCUGCGUCUGCUUUGGAUGGUGGACGUUUACCAAGUCGGUGCUGGGACCCGGGCCCAAGAGCGGGAGGUGGCGAGGCAGCCAUGCCCAGCUCCCUUCUAUGGGCCGUAGAUGUACAUGGCAAAGUGUACACUCUUUCUACAGCCAAUCAGUACUGGGAGUUGUGCAAAGAUGCAAGCUUGGAAUUUAAGAGACUGGCAGCUGUCAAGCAGUGCUGUUGGGGAAUUGCAUGUGACCAGCAAAUCUACGUCUAUGUCCAUAUGAACGAUGUUCCAAUCCGAUACCAAGAAGAGACCUAUGAAAAUCAGCGUUGGAAUCCAGUGGAUGGUUUCAGUGACCACUUGUUACCCAGUGACCGCUGGCAGUGGAGUGAUGUUACAGGAUUGAAGCAUCAACCCCUCAAUGAAUUCAAGCUUGCAUCACAACACUGGGAGUGGGAAUCCAGCUGGUACGUGGAUGAAAAUAUUGGAGGAGAGCCAACAGAAAAAGGGGGUUGGACUUAUGCCCUAGAUUUUCCUGCCACUUAUACAAAAAAUAAGCGCUGGAACUCUUAUGUGCGUCGGCGCCGAUGGAUCCGAUACAGGAGGUACAAGUCAUGCAACACCUGGGCGAAGAUUCCCUCACAAAUUACCGGACCACUACCAGAUCCCUUUCAUGACAUUGCUGUAGGAGGAUGGGAGGUCACUGAUGAGCCUUUGGGACAUCUCUCAGUCUGGGCAGUAACCGUGCUAGGCAAGGUAUUUUAUAGAGAAAAUGUAAAUGAUCACAACCCUGAGGGCUUGUCAUGGACGGAAAUCCAGAGUCCUGGGGAAGUAGUUCAGAUAGCCUGUGGACCAGGUGACCUUGUGUGUGCUGUGCUAUGGGAAGGCCAGCUAAUGAUGAGAACAGGAAUAAACAGGGAGAAUCCUAAAGGGAAUUCCUGGCAAAUUGUUGAAUCACAAAACUCUGGAAAUGGUUUUGUCCAGGUCUCAGUGGGUGUCAACGUGCUAUGGGCUGUUUCACGGGACAGAAAGGUUUGGUUUCGAAGAGGUGUCUGUUCUGAGAACCCUGUUGGAACAGGGUGGAUCUGCAUGAAUAUAGAGAUGAUCAUGGUGAAUGUGGGAUUAAAUGACCAGGUUUGGGGAAUAGGUUCUGAAGACCGCUGUAUCUACUUUCGGCAAGGUGUGACACCGACUGAAUACAGUGGAAAGGCUUGGAAAGUGAUUGUAACAAACCGGGAGCAGGAUCGAUCUUCCUGCGCAGGCAGCGCCUCCAGUCUUGCAAGUGCUGGGUGUUUCUUUGGUGAUGAAGUUCGGUUACCAUCCCAGGUCUCCAUCACCAAUGACGUUGAUUGUUCCUUGGAAAUGGAGGGAGAAGAAAAGGAAACUGAAAACAUUCCUGAAGCAAUUGAGAGAGUGAGGUGUUCCCAUAACAGUGGAGAUGUUGAUUCUUCCUGUCCUGCCAUCCAGUCAAAAUGCAAUGCCGUGACCAAUGUAUUUGAGAACAUCUCAUUAAAUGAAGAAUCUUUAGAAAAGUGCACUCAGCCUGGUUUUGGAUCAGCAGAUCAAAGGCAGUCUCUGCAAGACGGUAUGGAACUGGAUGUUGCUCGCUCUGACUCAAGUCCAGUAAACUUGGAUGUGGCAGAAACAUCCAGUGUGUCAUCAGUGGCAAUUUACCCUUUUGGAAUUGAUGAACAUUGUGUGUCUGAUGAGCAUCCAUUCUGGGCCUGGGUCAGUGGAGGCGGAUGUGAUGUAGAGGCUCACACCCAGCUGAACUGGUUCCACAUCCAGUCAGGGCAAUCAAUUUCCAUGCACUCACUCUCGAUGCCCAGUAGUUUUCCACAGCAGACCGUUUGGAGGAAGCAAAUUGUUCAACAGUUAAUUGAGCGGUCCAAACGAGAGGUGGAUGAUUUUAAGCAUUAUGAACAGGCUGUGGAGCAGUCUGUGUGGAUAAAAAAGGGAACAAUGAAGUGGUGGAGAGAUGGGAAGCCACAUAAAUGGACAGAUGUCAAGGUAGCACUGGAACAGUUCACAGGCAACGAUGGGAAACGGGAUGGAAUAUUUUUCAUAUACUACACAUACAACGAUGAGAAAAAGUACCUUCACUUAUUCCUAAAUGAAGUUACAAUUUUAGUCCCGAUUGCCAAUGAAGCAAAACACUCCUUUGCAAUUUACACUCCAGAACGGACAAAACAGAGAUGGCCAAUCAGAUUGGCAAUGGUUACUGAGCAAGAAAUGUAUGACUGGCUUGCUGUCUUGAGUCUAGCAUGCUGUGACAGUAGGGGAAUCCAGGGACCCCCGUCCCAUCAGGCCCUUUGGUCCGUCACCUGCAAAGGUGAUGUCUUUGUCAGUGAGCCAAGCCCAAAUCUGGAAGCAGCGUCACAUCCUAUGCCAAGUGAUCAAUUGUACUGGCGUCAAAUUGGAGGACAUCUCCGCUUGGUUGAGUGCAACAGUCAAGGAAUUGUGUGGGGCAUUGGCUAUGAUCAUACUGCCUGGGUCUAUACCGGAGGCUAUGGAGGUGGCUUCUUUCAAGGACUGGCCAGCAGUGCAGAUAAUAUUUAUACUCAGUCAGAUGUAAUGUGUGUUUAUAUUUAUGAAAACCAGCGUUGGAAUCCUCUCACCGGAUACAGUAGUAGGGGUCUGCCAACUGAUAGGUACAUGUGGAGCGAUGCAUCAGGUCUCCAGGAAUGCACCAAGGCACACACAAAGCCUCCUUCACAAUGGACAUGGGUAUCUGAUUGGUAUAUUGAUUUCAAUGCACCUGGUGGGACUGAUCGGAAUGGAUGGCAGUUUGCAGCCGACUUCCCGGCGUCCUACCAUGGGUACAAGACAAUGAAAGAUUUUGUGCGGCGGAGGCGAUGGGCAAGGAAGUGUAAAACUGUUACAACGGGUCCAUGGUUCGAAGUUGCACCUAUCGCUCUGCGGGACCUCUCACUGAUUCCCUCUGUGAGUCAGAGUGCCAAUGACCAAGUGGCCCUAUGGGCCAUUAGCAGCAAAGGGGAUGUCCUGUGUAGGAUGGGAGUAACAAAGGAAAAUGCAAUGGGUGUUUCAUGGCUGCAUAUUGGUACAGAUCAACCAUUUGUGUCGAUUUCUAUUGGGGCCUUCUACCAGGUGUGGGCCAUUGCCAGGGAUGGAUCAGCUUUUUACCGUGGCUCAGUUUCCCCACAAAACCCUACAGGUGAUUGUUGGUACCACAUUCCUCCGCCUCCCAAACAAAAGCUGAUACAGGUUUCCGUAGGAAGGACAUCGGUGUGUGCAGUGGAUGAAAGUGGUAAUGUGUGGUUUCGUCAGGGUAUUUCUCCAAGUUAUCCUCAGGGAUCCAUUUGGCAACAUGUCUCCACAAAUGUUCGUAAGGUGUCUGUAGGUCCCAUUGAUCAGAUCUGGAUAGUCGCUGAUAAGGUUCAAGGCAGCCACAGCCUGAGCUGUGGGACAGUGUGUCAUCGCUUAGGUGUACAGCCACAGGAACCCAUGGGUAGCUGUUGGGACUACGGCAUUGGAGGUGGCUGGGAUCACAUCACUGUCAGAGCCAACUCAAUGGACCCUUCAUACAGUCGUGUUCCCAAAACCCCUGACAACGAGCCCGUGAAGCUGACAACCCAGAAUGGAACGGCAGGCACCAAAUCUAAAAACAGUUUAAUAAUCGAGCAGCAGGAACUUGAUCAAAGUGCUGUCAGAUGCUGACAGCUUGUAUCACAAUGUUGCAUGUUCUGCUUUGGUGUUGUUAUUGGUCCAGGCAAUGCCUGAGCUUUCCCAGAGCUGACCUGAGACCACUUACUGCAUUAAGUAAGUAGAAUGGUGCUGUGAGUUUGUGUGUUAGCUAUGUUUGGUGUUAUUUUGCACUGUGGGCAUAAAAAUGCCUAUCACUCUGACUGAACUCCAAUAACAAAUAUGUAGUAUGUUUGGUUUAGAGUGCAAGGCACUGAUACAUCUAAGCCAACAUGGUGUUGGUUUCCAUUUCAUUCUUGCAUUGACCAGACACCAAAACAUUCAUCAUUCUGUCUGUGUUUUAGCAAUGGAGGCCCAGUAAUAUAUUGAUUCCAGCAACUUCUCCAACAGAGAGAAAAAAAAACAACAUAUUUUUGCAGUGGCACCCAUUCACAUGCCUGAGUAAGGACGGGACAACUCACAAGAAGGUACGAAUUUUUGAAAACCACCUCAGAGAUGAACGUAGAAGAACUGGUGGUACGUGCUAGUUAGCACUGCUAACAUUCUCAAACAGGCAAGCCUGCUUUGGGUCAGAGAAGUAUUAACCAAUUUCCCCCGGGAUCAAUAAAGUAUGACUAUGGCUAUGACUAAGUAUUCACUCUAAAUGCAUGUGCAGAGUAUUCAGUGGAACAUCAGUAGUUUUGGUUGCAGAAUUGCAUGGACAGCUUGGGUCCCUGAGGUGGUUCUCAAUGCAGAGAACCGUCAUCUUUAACAUUGCUGUGUGCUUGACUGGCAGAACUUAACUACAGUUGACCAUAAUGGCCAAAUGGCUUGUUUCUGUGAUAACUUUGAGGAAUGUCGUAUCAUUUUUUUAAUGCAUGCAUUUCUAAAUGACAAUAAACGAGGACUGAGUGAACUCAUAAUCUAAUCUAAUCUAAAAACUAACUGACGGAGCACUAACAAUCCACCAGAUUCUGUGAUUUGUUCUUUGGAAAGUGAACACUGGACAAAGUUAAACUAGGUACAAACUCUGCAUGUCCUAUAUAACCCCAGUGCCAAUUUCAGUGGGAACCUAUGGGGGCAGAAUGGAGUCUGUAAUAGCAAAAGCCGCUGGAAAUCUGAAGACCAAGGAAGCGCAGCAGGUCAGGCAGUAUUACUAGAGAGAGAAUCAUUGAAUGUCUCAGGUCCACAUAGCGAUGGAGAUUUUGAAACUGAAACACUGUCUUUUUCAAUAUGCAGACUAUCUUGUAAAUAGAGGAUAACUAAUCAGUAAGGAUGGGUUAGAGAAACUUUCAUCCUUCUCACCACUGCCAUUCUUUUAUCCCACGGAACGGGCAUUUCCUGAGGAUUCUGACAGGCUAGUUUAAGACCAGGAUAUCCAGUGCUGUGGAUGAUUAUAACACAAAAUCCUACUGUGCUUCCAGUGAGGAUACUUGACAAGUGCAUUAACUACUGACAGUUGCAUUGUGAGAUUACAGUGAUCUCUAUACUGGUGUUAUCUAAAUGUUUAUGUACAGUGUGUGGCAUAGAAAUACUUGGUCCAGCUGGCCUAUCCAAUGCUUAUCCUCCAGAGAAACUUCAGUCCUACUCUGUCACCAUAUCCGCCUGUCAUUCCAAUUUUCCUCUUCUCCCACUCUCCCCACAUAUGUUUGUGUGUGUGUGUGUGCGUGUGCGUGUGUGUGUGUGUGUGACCAUAUACAACCCUGAGAUUCAUUUUCUUGUGGGCAUACUCAAUAAUCCACAAUAGAAUAAUAACCAUAAUAGAAUCAAUGAAGGACCACACCAACUUGGGCAUUUAAUCAGUAUGCAGAAGCCAACAAUCCGCAAAUAACAAAAGAAAGAAAGAAUAAUAAUAAAUAAAUAGACAAUAAAUAUCAAGAACAUGAGAUGAAAAGUCCUUGAAACUGAGUCCAUAGUUUGUGGGAACAUUUCAGUGAUGGGGCGAGUGAAGUUGUCUCCUUCGAUUCAAGAGUGUGUAGCUGAGGGGUAAUAAUUGUUCCUGAACCUGGUGGUGUGACUCAUGAGGCUCCUGUACCUUCUUCCUGACGGCAGCAGUGAGAAAAGAGAAUGUGUUAGGUGGUGGGGUUCCUGAUGAAUGCUGCUUUCCAACGAGAACACUUCAUGUAGAUAUGUUCAAUGAUGGGGAGGGCUUUACCUGUGUUGGAAUGGACCGUAUCCACUACCCUGUGUAGGAUUUUUCAUUCAAGGGCACUGGCUGUGAUGCUUUGUACUUUACACCUUGACAUGCACAGAUUUCUUUUUCCUGAUACUUUGUGCUCAAAUGACCCUAUGCUUUUCGGAAUGGUGCAAGAAUCUUGCCCAAGAGUUGAGAAUUGGAGAAUUUCUACCUCAGGAGGUAUCAAGCAUGACUCGGAAUAUUAUACAACAGCUAGAGAAGUGAAAUGCCCAUUAACUAGGCCGGCAGAAGUUAGAUUCAAUUCUAGUCUGCUUGAACUGUUUUAUUAAUGGUUGUGUCUCUUUUUAGAAGUGCAUUGCCUCGUGGUAUUGUGAUCCUGAAGCACAUCAAGUUACAGGGGAUAAGAGCAGUGUAGUAGGAAGAAACUGUUCUCUUGAACCAUUGACCCAUUAACUGCAUACAAAUGUAGUUGGGAAGCUUUGAAGAUGGCUUGCAGCUCACAGAAGAUAUGAAUCCUCUGCAGUGUGUUUGCAGUUUCAACGUUUGAAGACCCUUCCAGCCCUUCGAGCUACACCACCCAGCAACCCCCGACAACUCUGAUUUAACCUUAAUCCAAUCACAGGACAACUUACAGUGACUAGUUAACCUACAGAUACGUCUUUUGACUGUGGGAGGAAACUGGAGCACUCAGGGAAAACCCACACAUUCCAUGGAGGGGACAUACAAACUGCUUACAGAGGACUCUGAUCUCCAAAACCCCGAAGCUGUAAUAGUGUUACGCUACCAUGACAUUGUCUGUGAUGUUUGAUUGAAAAACCAUUUAUUUAACAUCUACUAUUACAUGCAUUCUCUGAAAAUAACCUCAUUUAGACUAUUUAUUUUAUUUGCGACGUACGGGCAUUUUACCUUAAACACAUUUUGGAAAAUUUGGGUAGUCUUCUUAAAAAUAAUGUGAAACAGAAGGGCCAGUAAUUGCUGACUACUGCUGCUACUUUCAGUGUGUGCGUGUUCUUUUUGUAGAACCUCAAUCAUAUCAUUCAUUGUUUUUGUCUGUGUGUUAAGAAGCCAUGUUACUGUAUUGGAAUGUAUACACAAAGCUGGAAAUUGGAAUCAUUUGUGAAUCAUUUAACCAUGAAAUACAAAGAAUAUUGAAAGUUCUGAACAGAAAUGAUGCUCUAUUGAAUCCUUUUACCCAUACGAUUGAUUUCAUUGGAGAUAAAUCAGUUAGUGCACUAUUCAAAUUGUAAUUUUGCCACAAUUGUGAAGUUGUGCCUCGACCGCCGUGAACCUAAUUGUCCCACUAUCAACCCCACCUUUCAGAAGGUCACCAUCACUCCUACACGAUGGGGCUCCCAUUCUGAUUACCUCUGGGAUCUCUAUUUAUUGGUUUGCUAAUUGUCACAAAAGUACUAACUUACCUCACAUUUUUGUCUGCUUUCAGCUGCAGGUUUUGAAAAUCAGCCAGCAAAUAAGUAGGACCUUAGCUAUAAACACACAUAUUAUUGACUUUGAUUUGCAAUACUAAAUUCCUUUUCCCAAAAAGUAAGAAUGCUAAGACAUCAAGUUUCAGAAAUCCAUAGUUCUCCAGAGUGUACGUGAUGGCAUUAACAACCUAUUUGUAUUAAAUGGUGUGUUUAGCAAAUGUAGAUUGAAACAUUGAAAAGUUCUGUGGGUUUUUAUGUGGAAUUUAUAUUUGUCAUCUUUUUUAAAGUGGUUUUAUUCAAUUUGAUUUAUGUGUCUCUUGUUUUUUCUGGAGAAGCCUUUGUGCAAAAGUACUAUUCACCAAACUAGAGUUAAUAGAAUAUUAUAUUGUUUUGCUUCUCUUUGGUAUGGUAUAUGUAAUUAAUAGUGGAUUAUAGUUUAACCCUUGCUCACAACAAAAGCUGGCCAAUCACAUAUAUUGCAAAGAAGUAUUGGAUUUCACUGAUAAAUGUAUAAUGCAUUUCUAUCAGUACUGCAGUGCCUCUGUGAUGGCCCAGUGUAGUUUUGUGUUUGCGUACUGCAAAUAACAGCAACCCAGCACCUUAUAACCAUGCCUACACAUCAUUUGAAAAUGGGGUUCUUGCUGAGAGAGCUGGCUUGAUGAGGAUCUAUCUGACCUGUCCUAGUUACCUAUUUGACUCAUGUGAAAUAUACUCUCAGCUUAAUGAAGAUUUUAGGUGUGCCACAGUAGCAUAGAAGUUAGCGUGACUCUAUUACAGCUAGGGAUGUCAGAGUUUGGAGUUCAAUUUCGGCACCAAAUGUUCUCCCCAUGAUCAUGUGAGUUUCCGCCCACAGUCUACAGGCGUACUAGGUACUAGGUUAAUUGGCCAUUGUAAAUUGACCUUUGAUUAGGCUAGGGUUAAAAAGGUGAGUGUGGCUUGUUGGGCUUGAAGAGUCUAUUCUACACUGUAUCUCUAAAUAAAGUAACAAUUUUAUUAAUUGACAGAUUAAUUUGGUCAUAUCAAAGUUAUUAGCAAAUUCAGACUUUGCUAAUACUGCCUGCAAACAAUCCUAGUGGAAUAUCAAGUUGAAAAUAAUUUAUUUCAUGAAUAAUGGGACAUCUAAUAAUUUGGAUGGAUGUGUUACCACAGGGCAAUAGAAGCUUUGUGGAUAAGGUAGGAUGUAGAUUUUGGUCAUCAUGCAUGUGUAAGUAUGGCAAAUUGGAAAAAUUUCACACUGGACUUCAUCCACUUGUUGCCUCUUGUAUUAAAAUUAUUUAUUUCACUUUCAA